GAUGAACGCUAGCUACAGGCUUAACACAUGCAAGUCGAGGGGUAACGAGAGGAAAGCUUGCUUUCCUUGUCGACGACCGGCGCACGGGUGAGUAACGCGUAUCCAACCUGCCCCCAACUAAGGAAUAACCUUGCGAAAGUAAGACUAAUACCUUAUAAUUUCCUCAGAUGACAUCUGACGAGGAAUAAAGAUUUAUCGGCGGUGGAUGGGGAUGCGUCUGAUUAGCUUGUUGGAGGGGUAACGGCCCACCAAGGCAACGAUCAGUAGGGGUUCUGAGAGGAAGGUCCCCCACAUUGGAACUGAGACACGGUCCAAACUCCUACGGGAGGCAGCAGUGAGGAAUAUUGGUCAAUGGGCGAAAGCCUGAACCAGCCAAGUAGCGUGCAGGAUGACGGCCCUAUGGGUUGUAAACUGCUUUUAUACAGGAAUAAAGUUAGCCACGUGUGGUUAUUUGUAGGUACUGUAUGAAUAAGGACCGGCUAAUUCCGUGCCAGCAGCCGCGGUAA
rnacentral:rRNA from 1 species